rnacentral:rRNA from 1 species
CGCGAAUGGCUCAUUACAACAGCUAUAAUUCACUUGAUCUUGACAAUCCUACUUGGAUAACUGUGGUAAUUCUAGAGCUAGUACAUGCAUUAAAGCUCUGACCUCACGGGAAGAGUGCACUUAUUAGAACAAAACCAAGCGGCUUCGGCUGUUUUCGGUUGACUCAUAGUAACUGAGCUGAUCGCACGGUCUUGCACCGGCGACGUGUCUUUCAAGUAUCUGCCGUAUCAACUUUCGAUGGUAGUGUAUCUGACUACCAUGGUGAUCACGCGUAACGGAGAAUAAGGGUUCGACUCCGGAGAGUUCGCCUGAGAAAUCGCGAACACAUCUAAGGAAGGCAGCAGGCGCGAAAAUUACCCACUCUCAGCACGAGGAGGUAGUGACGAAAAAUAACGAGACCGUUCUCUUUCGAGGCCGGUCAUCGGAAUGGGUACAAUUUAAACCCUUUAACGAGUAUCUAUGAGAGGGCAAGUCUGGUGCCAGCAGCCGCGGUAAUUCCAGCU